GACGAACGCUGGCGGCGUGCUUAACACAUGCAAGUCGAGCGGUAAGGCCCUUUCGGGGGUACACGAGCGGCGAACGGGUGAGUAACACGUGGGUGACCUGCCCUCAGCUCUGGGAUAAGCCUGGGAAACCGGGUCUAAUACUGGAUAUGACUCCAUGACGCAUGUUGUGGGGUGGAAGGCCUUGUGCGGCUGAGGAUGGGCCCGCGGCCUAUCAGCUUGUUGGUGGGGUGAUGGCCUACCAAGGCGACGACGGGUAGCCGGCCUGAGAGGGCGACCGGCCACACUGGGACUGAGACACGGCCCAGACUCCUACGGGAGGCAGCAGUGGGGAAUCUUGCGCAAUGGGCGAAAGCCUGACGCAGCGACGCCGCGUGA
rnacentral:rRNA from 1 species